AAAAUUUGGGAAUUUUAUACUUUUGAACUGCUUACACUGAGACAAAGCACCUCAGAUGGAAAAUUUGAUGGCGUGUCAGGACUGUGGCACAUUUGGACAGCCUGGGAAGAGGGAGACUGCACCCUUGCUUGGGAGGACAGUGAUAGAACCCUCAAGACUGUGGCCAAUGCCAUUUGGGCAAAGGAAACCAAACACAUUUCCAGUUUUGGAGCACUGAUUCAAUCAUCAUCAGAAAAGCAGUGAUCUGGAGCCCCACACAGUCUCCUUCUUAAGCACUCCACCUACUCAACAUUCCGAGUCAUAUCCAGAGAGCCUUUAGACGCAUUUCUCUUCUCUCCAGACUACAACAUUGGAGUUCCACUGCAUUUAUUUCUAGACAACUGACAAAUAUUCCAG